UCUCUGUGAGUGCACAAGGUAUGCAUAUUUUCGAGAUCUGAGGGGGAUGGGUAUAAGUGAGGUUAGUGGCGGGUUUGACGUAAGUCAAUCACUCUCCACUAGUGAUAGGGUUAGAAGAAUGAGUGAGUUUGCUAGAGCUGCAUUUUCCAGGCGACGUUUGCAAUUGCAGGAAGGAAUUGUAUGAAUGAUGAUGGAUGGUAGAUGUGAGAAUGUGGGGGUACGAAUGUGGGGGUGUUUCUGAAUGGUAAUUUUUGUUGAACAUUGUGUUGUGAUGGGGCUACCAACCCUUAACUGUUUGGAGUUUAAAUUGGAAGUGCCCUUCUGGUACGAGGCCUGACCGGAGGCUUUUAAUCUGGUACCACGGGUAACCAGGAGCCCACGGAACUUGUUCCGUCCUGGUUAGUUGGUGCGGCCCUUCGGGGAGUAUCGUGGUGGUUGUGGUUUAACACCCAAAUGCGGGUAGAGCAUCGCUCGACGUGGAGUUGCGUCAUACAACCGGGUUCCGUGACCCAGAUUACGGAAGAGGCUUAGAUAGUCCUCGUGCCAAACCAAGGUAGAAGUCACAACCAAACAGUCGUGUCUUUAAUUGGUACCUGCGGAAUUGUUCCAAGGGGGCGGUGAUUGACGCUUGAAUUAAUCCUAUACUAGGAACCGUGAGAUUAAGCCAUCGCGGCAGGUGCUCACGUUAAGCCCACUGACUUUCAUGUCCCUAUCUACUAUCUAGCGAAACCACAGCCAAGGGAACGGGCUUGGAAUAAUUAGCGGGGAAAGAAGACCCUUUUGAGCUUGACUCUAAUCUGGCAGUGUAAGGAGACAUAAGAGGUGUAGAAUAAGUGGGAGAUAUUAGACUUCGGUUUGGUAUCGACAAUGAAAUACCACUACUCUUAUUGUUUCCUUACUUACUUGAUUAAAUGGAACGUGUAUCAUUUCCUAGCCAUUAUACGGAUAUAAUUAUUAUGUCUUAUGGUAUUGGGUUUUGAUGCAAGCUUCUUGAUCAAAGUAUCACGAGUUUGUUAUAUAAUCGCAAACAAAUUCUUUAAUGAGAGAAUGCAUUUAUGUAUUAUUGAUUUAAAAAUUUGGUAUAACUCCAAUUACUCAGGUAUGAUCCAAUUCAAGGACAUUGCCAGGUAGGGAGUUUGACUGGGGCGGUACAUCUCUCAAAUAAUAACGGAGGUGUCCCAAGGCCAGCUCAGUGCGGACAGAAACCACACAUAGAGCAAAAGGGCAAAUGCUGACUUGAUCUCGGUGUUCAGUACACACAGGGACAGCAAAAGCUCGGCCUAUCGAUCCUUUUGGUUUAAAGAGUUUUUACAAGAGGUGUCAGAAAAGUUACCAUAGGGAUAACUGGCUUGUGGCGGCCAAGCGUUCAUAGCGACGUCGCUUUUUGAUCUUCGAUGUCGCUCUUCCUAUCUUGUGAGCAAAUUCACAAGCGUUGGACGUUCACCCAUGCAAAUCAAUUUGACCUGGGUUUAGAAUACACAGAGACAGUCGCACGUUUCCCUAAUAAAUACAACAAU
rnacentral:ncRNA from 1 species